rnacentral:rRNA from 1 species
CCUACGGGUGGCAGCAGUAGGGAAUAUUGCUCAAUGGGGGAAACCCUGAAGCAGCAACGCCGCGUGGAGGAUGAAGGUUUUCGGAUUGUAAACUCCUUUUGUUAGAGAAGAUAAUGACGGUAUCUACCUAAUAAGCACCGGCUAACUCCGCGCCAGCAGCCGCGGGAAUACGGAGGGUGCAAGCGUUACUCGGAAUCACUGGGCGUAAAGAGCGCGUAGGCGGGAUAGCAAGUCAGAUGUGAAAUCCUAUGGCUUAACCAUAGAACUGCAUUUGAAACUGUUAUUCUAGAGUAUGGGAGAGGUAGGUGGAAUUCUUGGUGUAGGGGUAAAAUCCGUAGAGAUCAAGAGGAAUACUCAUGGCGAAGGCGACCUGCUAGAACAUAACUGACGCUGAUGCGCGAAAGCGUGGGGAGCAAACAGGAUUAGAUACCCUAGUAGUC